GCAUCGAUAGCUCAGUGGCAGAGCGGUGGGGCGUUUACCCAUGCGGCCCGGGUUCGGUCCCCGGUCGAUGUA